rnacentral:rRNA from 1 species
GACGAACGCGGGCGGCGUGCUUAACACAUGCAAGUCGAACGAAGAGCGAUGGAAGCUUGCUUCUAUCAAUCUUAGUGGCGAACGGGUGAGUAACGCGUAAUCAACCUGCCCUUCAGAGGGGGACAACAGUUGGAAACGACUGCUAAUACUGCAUACGAUCUAAUCUCGGCAUCGAGGAAAGAUGAAAGGUGGCCUCUAUUUAUAAGCUAUCACUGAAGGAGGGGAUUGCGUCUGAUUAGCUAGUUGGAGGGGUAACGGCCCACCAAGGCGAUGAUCAGUAGCCGGUCUGAGAGGAUGAACGGCCACAUUGGGACUGAGACACGGCCCAGACUCCUACGGGAGGCAGCAGUGGGGAAUCUUCCGCAAUGGACGAAAGUCUGACGGAGCAACGCCGCGUGAGUGAUGACGGCCUUCGGGUUGUAAAGCUCUGUUAAUCGGGACGAAAGGCCUUCUUGCGAACAGUUAGAAGGAUGGACGGACCGGAAUAGAAAGCCACGCA